rnacentral:snoRNA from 1 species
GAUUAAUUUAUGCUUAACCACUGAUGAACAGUGUUGACAAAACAUCUCCGCUUAUUAUCUGAUG